GGUUCUAUGGUGUAGUGGUUAGCACUCUGGAAUUUAAAUCCAACGACCUGGGUUCGAAUCUCGGUAGGACCU
rfam:Picea glauca, whole genome shotgun sequence.